rnacentral:rRNA from 1 species
CCAAUAGCGUAUAUUAAAGUUGUUGCAGUUAAAAAGCUCGUAGUUGAAUUUCGGGGUCAGCAGGUUGGUCGUGCCUAUGGUAUGCACUGGCUUUACUGAUUCCUCCUUCUUGAAGAACUGUAAUGUCAUUAAUUUGGUGUUGCAGGGAAACAGGACUGUUACUUUGAAAAAAUUAGAGUGUUUAAAGCAGGCUAACGCUUGAAUACAUUAGCAUGGAAUAAUGAAAUAGGACGUUUGAUCCUAUUUUGUUGGUUUCUAGGAUUGACGUAAUGAUUAAUAGGGAUAGUUGGGGGCAUUAGUAUUCAAUUGUCAGAGGUGAAAUUCUUGGAUUUAUUGAAGACUAACUACUGCGAAAGCAUUUGCCAAGGAUGUUUUCAUUAAUCAAGAACGAAAGUUAGGGGAUCGAAGACGAUCAGAUACCGUCGUAGUCUUAACCAUAAACUAUGCCGACUAGGGAUCGGAUGAUGUUAAUUUUUUAAUGACUCAUUCGGCGCCUUACA